UACGUAGGGGGCCGAGCGUUGUCCGGAGUUAUUGGGCGUAAAGCGCGCGCAGGCGGCCUCGCGCGCCCGACGUGAAAGCCCCCCGGCUUAACCGGGGAGGGUCGUUGGGGACGGCGGGGCUUGAGGGCGGGAGAGGGUGGUGGAAUUCCCGGUGUAGUGGUGAAAUGCGUAGAGAUCGGGAGGAACACCCGUGGCGAAGGCGGCCACCUGGGCCGACCCUGACGCUGAGGCGCGAAGGCGUGGGGAGCGAACGGG
rnacentral:rRNA from 1 species